GACGAACCGUGCGAACGUUGUUCGGAAUCACUGGGCUUAAAGGGCGCGUAGGCGGGCCGGCCGGUCGGAGGUGAAAGCCCCCAGCUCAACUGGGGAAGCGCCCCCGAUACCGCCGGCCUUGAGGGGGGUAGGGGCGUGCGGAACUUCCGGUGGAGCGGUGAAAUGCGUAGAUAUCGGAAGGAACACCGGUGGCGAAGGCGGGUCUCUGGACCGAUACUGACGCUGAGGAGCGAAAGCGUGGGGAGCGAACAGG
rnacentral:rRNA from 1 species